CUGGUGUCUGAAGAGCCAGGCUAUGGGCCUCCAUGGAGCCUGGGGACCCAGUUGGCCGCCAGUGCCAGCUGAGCCACGGGGCGACCUGUGCCUCUGCCCCCUCGGGGCUGGUUGAACUUGGAGUUCUCGAGGCCAGCCGUGGAGGCGGGUCGUCGGAGUUCUGGUUUCCUGGUUCUCAGGUUCCAGCCCCUGCUGCGCUGUGCUGCGCGCCUGGGCAGCCGCGGACCUUCCGGGAGUUUGUGAGCCACCGUCACAAUGUUCACGUUUGAUGUGAAGGUCUCCUUCCUCCCCCUUUAAGCUAAAGCGUCUGACGCGAGUCUCUCUCUCCAGGAUGUGAGUCUAACUGCAGGCAGGAGCUGCUCUGUGGUUCUCCGGGCGAUAGAGCGCUGCCCACGACUUUCCCACCCGCGAUGCCCGAGGGAUUAAAUGUCCACAUUGAAGCCAAAAUUGAUUGUGUGUGUGAACUGAAUCACCAACAAUGCAGAAAGAGCGAAGAUAUGCUCACCCGGGCACAGAAGCCAGUGGCAGAGCCGAGCUAAGGGAGACAGUAACGUGUGCUCUCGGCAGCUGUGGGCAGGCUGGGGGUGUGCCAGCGCCUGACACAGCAAGCAGAGGGCACUGCCCACAUCAGACUCCAGAAAGCUCUCUGACAGGUGUGCCACCUGCGUCCUUUGUGCCACCCUGUCCUCUCUGUGCCCGUGGAAUACGCCAUUGAAGCCAGCAGGUCUCUGAAAAGAAGCAAACUCAACACAGGCAGCUUCUUCGCUGCUCGUAGAAUUACACACGGACUCGGAGAGCUCCCCUCCGCCCUCCAGGCCAGGAGCUGUUCUUAUCGCUCCCGACAACCUGCUCCCUGAAUUCACUCACCGCUUGGGUUUGUCAUUGCUGCUCUGGUUGGUCCUUUUGCCCUUUGGGGUGUGCUGUUCAGAAACAAGACCUUCGUUGGAUCGUUUCUCUAUAAUCUAAAGAAAAUGUGCUUUAUCUUGUCUUUAAGGCCACGCUCAAC